rnacentral:rRNA from 1 species
UAGGGAAUUUUCCGCAAUGGGCGAAAGCCUGACGGAGCAACGCCGCGUGAGUGAGGACGGCCUUCGGGUUGUAAAACUCUGUUCUUGAGGAAGAAUUCCUUCCAGGCGAACAGCCUGGAAGGUUGACGGUACUCAAGGAGAAAGCCCCGGCUAACUACGUGCCAGCAGCCGCGGUAAUACGUAGGGGGCGAGCGUUAUCCGGAAUUAUUGGGCGUAAAGCGCGCGCAGGCGGCUGAUUAAGUCAGGUGUGAAAGGCUGCGGCUCAACCGCAGAGCGGCACCUGAAACUGGUCAGCUUGAGUGCAGGAGAGGGGAGCGGAAUUCCCGGUGUAGCGGUGGAAUGCGUAGAGAUCGGGAGGAACACCAGUGGCGAAGGCGGCUCUCUGGCCUGUAACUGACGCUGAGGCGCGAAAGCGUGGGGAGCAAA